UUUGCCGCUUUUUCUCCUCCUACUAUCCCGUGGCGCUGAUUUUGAAUUGUAACUCGUUUCCGUGUGCCAGUCGAUUAUGUAGAUUAGUCGCGUCUGCACAGAUGCGAUGAUUUAGCGGACGAUCGUAGAUAAGCACGAAUGUACUUUAGCAGUUUGCAUGUGGAUUAAUAUGCUCGGUAAAGAUAACUCCAGGAUUCCCAUAAUCUCCCUCGGAAUCUGUACCCGUGGGCGAAUAUUGAUUGAUCAAUUGUCAUUAUUGCAAUAAAAAGGAUCGGUUUAAUUAGUCUUGUCAAAUAUGGAGUAUUGAUGACAAGUUCGAAAUAUUAAUGACCAACACCGAUAGCCUCAAUUUCCGUGUGACUUAUCAUGUCGCGCGAUGACACCUUCAAUGAAUUGAUAUUGGCGGAAUUGGAUCAAGGUUUGAUCUGAAAUUGAAUGAAACGAAGUGAAGGGUUUUGAUGAAAUUUGGAAAAAUGUUACCGAGGACUCGGAUGGAAGACAUAUUGGCUAUUUUCUGUUACGACAAUCUACAUAGGUAGGCAGGUGUGUAUUAAAUUGGAUUAAACGCAAAAAGAUAUUUGUUUCGCAAUAAAUAAUUAGCACUGAAAGAAAGUCAAUGCUGUUCGUCAAAUUUUUUCAUAACGAAAAACAACAACGCGAUGACUUAUUUGAGAGAUGAGAAUCCAAGGUAUAAAGGAGCCAGGAGUAAGAUGGUUGCCGACUUAGAAUUGAGUUUAGAUAAAAUCAAUUGGCACGGGAAGGUGAAUCUUCUGGUCGGGAAUUCGUUUUUGGCAAUAUCGAAUAAAAGAGCAAAAUGACGGCAAGAAAUAAGUUACGCCUCAGGUAGAUCGAUCCAGGUGAUUCGGAGUUGGGAGAGUGGAGGAUUUUCUUUUUUCGUAUAGGAGGAAAUAUGGAGACUGAAAAAUGUGUAUGAAAUUUAUGAGAACAUCAGGGACAAGCAAUGUGGAUGUCGAGUGAGAAACGCAUUAGAUAGGAUACAAUGGGAUAAAAAAAGUAUUAACAAAAUUUCAAAGAGAUAUGAAGUGAGUGCAUCCAUCUUUUUAAAAUCCCAUUAAGGAACCUCUUGGAGCAAAUGAAUGAACUCGAGAAGGAAAUCAAUUACUUCCAGUAGCGAAUUGCUUCUCUCCAGAGGUGAGCGUGAAGAUUUAUAACGGGAAGUGAAGCGGAGCGAGAUGUGGGGAUGGUAGAGGAGAAAGAAGCGAGAUACCGUUAGGAACCGCAAAUUGUGAACAGCCCGUGAAAAUGUUACUUGCAAAGUUCGGAUGGGCUUAAUGAGAAUGAUAAAACUUUAGGCAGACUUGCGGGACGAGCGAUCGAACGAAUUAACGAAUGAAUAAUAUGGAGGAGGUAUAUCUGUCCUAGUACGGGUCCUUCGGAUCUAGGCUAAUCAAGGCCAAU